rnacentral:lncRNA from 1 species
GGAUUUGUACGGUUGGAUUAGUUUCUGGAAGCCGGAAUCUUUGUGAACUGAGGUCGUUUGGUUGCUGCCGGUUUUGAAGCUUUGUGUUGCUCUCUUGUUGUUGUUGUUUGUGUUGGAGAUAGCUAUUUGUUGCUAGACUCUCUGUUCUGUUCAGGCUGUUGAACAGGGAGGGCGUGGUUGUACUCACAAACAUUUAUAUAGUGGAUUGUUGAGUGGACUACAGUCCCGUGGUUUUUCCUUCUCACAUCGAGGAGGUUUUCCACGUAAAAAUUGUGUGUCUCAUUUAGUUCGCAACUUUGAUAUCUUGCCAUCGUCGAAGUAUUUUCCUCACAGGU